rnacentral:sRNA from 2 species
ACCGCCGCCAACCUACCUACUGCUGCCAAUCUACCUACCACUGCCAACCUAUCUAUCACUGCUAAUCUAUUGCUGCUAAUCUAUCACUGCUAAUCUAUCACUGCCAACCUACCUACCACUGCCAACCUACCUACCACUGCCAACCUAUCUAUCACUGCCAACCUAUAUAGGGUAAAUCAUGGUCCCAUUUGAUCCCAUUUUGUAAAAUGGGACCAAAUGGGACCAGAAUCACUAAUUUAUUAGUAAAACAUGAUCUGGGACUAGAUUUAUAAUAUAAACAGUGUAAAGUGACUAAUUUGCUAAACACUAUAUGGGACCAGGACUAAGAUAUCUAAUAAUGGGACUGAGGAAAAAUUUGGUCCCAGUCCCAUGCAUGGUCACACAGCCAGUCUAAUAACAACAACAAGUUGAUUAUAAAAUCCUCUCUUUCUCUAUCUCUUCUCUCAACUUCUUUUCUCUUUCUCUCUUCAGCUUCUUCAUCAUCAUUCACUGAUAUAUACAAUCUCUUUUGCAUCAGAAUUCAUCAUUUUCUUGUUGAAAUUCAUCAAGAUCACUCAUCCACUGUUCAUUCUGUCUUUUUCCCACUCUGUACACUGUAUGAGAUGUUCAUUUCAUCAUAUCAAAGAAGAAGAACACUGACAGAGACUUGUAUACAUAGUC